AUGGAUUUCUCUGUUGUGUUGGAGCGCCCUGGUUACCGUUUCGGACAUUGCCGCUAUUGCAAGGCACGUGUUGGAAUCCAGCACCGCGUGACAAAGGAGGAUUCCAUUAAAUGGUUUCAAGUGAAAUAUGAAGAUCCAUGCUGCUGGCUGGAUGAAGAACUUUCAGGCGAAUUUUGCAGGUUUAAUCUACACUUGAUAGCGGAAUACAAAGCCGUGAAAAGUCCGAAACAAAUUAUUUCAGUAGCUUCUGUUAGCUUUUCGGAGGACUUCACUUCAUCACUUGAAAAUUGCUGGAAACGAUGUUGA